rnacentral:rRNA from 1 species
GUCGUACAAGGUAGCCGUAGAUUGCAUUUGCUGACGAGUGGCGCAGGGAAAAGUAACGCGUAUGCAAUCUACCUUGUACUGGAGUAUAGUCCAGGGAAACUUGGAUUAAUCCUCCAUAGUCUAUUGAUAUGGCAUCGUAUUAAUAGUAAAGGUUACGGUACAAGAUGAGCAUGCGUCCUAUUAGCUAGUAGGUGUGGUAACGGCACACCUAGGCAACGAUAGGUAGGGGUCCUGAGAGGGAGAUCCCCCACACUGGUACUGAGACACGGACCAGACUCCUACGGGAGGCAGCAGUGAGGAAUAUUGGACAAUGGGCGGGAGCCUGAUCCAGCCAUGCCGCGUGCAGGAAGACUGCCCUAUGGGUUGUAAACUGCUUUUAUACGGGAAGAAUAAGUGUUACGUGUAGCACGAUGACGGUACCGUAAGAAUAAGCACCGGCUAACUCCGUGCCAGCAGCCGCGGUAAUACGGAGGGUGCAAGCGUUAUCCGGAAUCAUUGGGUUUAAAGGGUCCGUAGGUGGACUAAUAAAUCAGUGGUGAAAGUCUGCAGCUUAACUGUAGAAUUGCCAUUGAUACUGUUGGUCUUGAAUUGUUGUGAAGUAACUAGAAUAUGUAGUGUAGCGGGUGAAAUGCAUAAAUAUUACAUAGAAUACCGAUUUGCGAAGGGCAGGUUUACUAACAAUAUAUUGACACCUGGAUGGACGAAAGCCGUGGGGAGCGAAACAGGGAUUAGAUACCCCUGG